GCGGUGUAGCCAAGCGGUAAGGCAUGGGUCUGCAAAACCUUGAUCGUCGGUUCGAUUCCGAUCACCGC
rnacentral:tRNA from 3 species